rnacentral:rRNA from 1 species
CCUACGGGUGGCAGCAGUGAGGAAUAUUGGUCAAUGGGCGCGAGCCUGAACCAGCCAAGUCGCGUGAGGGAAGACGGUCCUAUGGAUUGUAAACCUCUUUUGUCGGGGAGCAAAAGACGCCACGCGUGGCGUUCCGAGAGUACCCUACGAAAAAGCAUCGGCUAACUCCGGUCCAGCCGCCGCGGUAAUACGGAGGAUGCGAGAGUUAUCCGGAUUUAUUGGGUUAAAAGGGUGCGCAGGCGGAAGAUCAAGUCAGCGGUAAAAUUGAGAGGCUCAACCUCGUCGAGCCGUUGAAACUGGUUUGCUGGAGUGAGCGAGAGGUAUGCGGAAUGCGAGGUGUAGCGGUGAAAUGCAUAGAUAUCACGCAGAACUCCGAUGGCGAAGGCAGCAUACCGGCGCUCAACUGACGCUCAUGCACGAAAGUGUGGGUAUCGAACAGGAUUAGAUACCCCUGUAGUC